rnacentral:rRNA from 1 species
UUGGGCGUAAGCGCGCGCAGGCGGUUCUUUAAGUCUGAUGUGAAAGCCCCCGGCUCAACCGGGGAGGGUCAUUGGAAACUGGGGAACUUGAGUGCAGAAGAGAAGAGCGGAAUUCCACGUGUAGCGGUGAAAUGCGUAGAGAUGUGGAGGAACACCAGUGGCGAAGGCGGCUCUUUGGUCUGUAACUGACGCUGAGGCGCGAAAGCGUGGGGAGCAAACAGGAUUAGAUACCCUGGUAGUCCACGCCGUAAACGAUGAGUGCUAAGUGUUGGAGGGUUUCCGCCCUUCAGUGCUGCAGCUAACGCAUUAAGCACUCCGCCUGGGGAGUACGGUCGCAAGACUGAAACUCAAAGGAAUUGACGGGGGCCCGCACAAGCGGUGGAGCAUGUGGUUUAAUUUGGAGCAACGCGAAGAACCUUACCAGGUCUUGACAUCCUCUGACAAUCCUAGAGAUAGGACUUCCCCUUCGGGGGCAGAGUGACAGGUGGUGCAUGGUUGUCGUCAGCUCGUGUCGUGAGAUGUUGGGUUAAGUCCCGCAACGAGCGCAACCCUUGUCCUUAGUUGCCAGCAUUCAGUUGGGCACUCUAGGGAGACUGCCGGUGACAAACCGGAGGAAGGUGGGGAUGAC